rnacentral:rRNA from 1 species
UACGGAGGGGGCUAGCGUUGUUCGGAAUUACUGGGCGUAAAGCGCACGUAGGCGGCGAUCUAAGUCAGAGGUGAAAGCCUGGAGCUCAACUCCAGAACUGCCUUUGAGACUGGAUUGCUAGAAUCUUGGAGAGGCGAGUGGAAUUCCGAGUGUAGAGGUGAAAUUCGUAGAUAUUCGGAAGAACACCAGUGGCGAAGGCGGCACGCUGGACAAGUAUUGACGCUGAGGUGCGAAAGCGUGGGGAGCAAACAGGAUUAGAAACCCGCGUAGUCC